rnacentral:rRNA from 1 species
CCCAGAGAGGUCGGCAACGACCACUCAGGGCCGGAAAGCUAUCCAAACUCGGUCAUUUAGAGGAAGUAAAAGUCGUAACAAGGU